GAGCUUUAGCUGUUAUCUGGAGCUGCUUGCACAUAGAGAUGAGUUUUUCAGCCUCCAACAGAAGCAAAGGCUUGUCAUCAUCAUGUACCUGGUACACGGUCCAGGAAGACAAAAUAACUGUGUUGAAGACUCCAACAUUAAGUUAAGGGAGAAGACAGCAUAAGCAACUUCUAAGCAGUAUCACUGAUGCCAUAAGAUACAUCACCUGAUCAGAAAGAGCAUGAAGAGCUGAAGCAAGCUUUGUGCCCUCUGUGGCAAAAAUCUGAAAGGAGGAGAAAGCAAUUAACAAAAUGGAACUACAACAGAAGGGUUCAGAAGUUGUGUUUGAAGCUGUAGAAUUGCACAACAGAAGACAUGGAGACAGAAGACCAUUUCAAACUCAUAUUCCUCAACAGUACAGUUUAAGGAAAGCAAGCAAGGAGAGAAAGAAACAAGGUAGAGCUUACUGUACCUUCUGAGACCAUUUUUCCUUUUUUCCUGCCCAUGGAAAGAUUCAGUUCAUAGCAAGUGAAUCAAAUGACUGAUUACAUGACACUAGGUUUAGGAGGUUUCCUAAACCUAACAUAAAGACACUGUCAGAAACAGUGUAAUAUCAGUUAUAAUCAGCUAAGGACAUUAAAUACCUCACGCCUGAAAAAUGGGUAUUUGGUGUAACAUUUUUCUCUACAUUGAACACACUUAAGAUCAAAGAAGGAAACAAGAACCCAUUCUUUAAAGAGGCUACAACAGGCUUAAACAUGCCCCCUUGUUCCAAACAGGUUAACUCAGGCUAGCUACAGUAUUAAGUCUUGGUAGUAUGAUUUAUUUUUUAUUUUAGCUUUCAGUAUAUUGCAGCAUAUUCCUACUGUUUCAAUAGCAACAAUGCACUUUUUUAUUAUAUUGCAUGACAGUAGAGUAUGUGGUAAAAAUUAAUGAACAGGAAUUAAAGUUUAUUUACAAUCAAAGUGUUUAAAGCACGUUACAUAACUAGUUACAUUCGUCUUCAGUUUAUGAUUCAUUUAAUAAACUGACAAACUUUGAUAUUUUACUGUCAACCAUGCAGUCAGGAUGCAUAUUGCCAAGAUAUUGUUAUGUCCCCACCUAGUUGUGACAGGGAAAGAAGUCAAACAGAGAACAGCAGAUGUCAAGUAAACACAACAAACCCAAAAGCAACUUACCCCUGGUCUGGGCAGUGAUAGGUAGACACGCUUCUCUCCUAUGAAGAACACACAGGUUUAUACCAAAAUUUGUAUGCAGAUUUUAAUCAGUGGGAUCAAAUGCCUUACUUUAUCCUUCCUUAAAUUGCAGUACUUAUAAAAGUAAAUUACUUACCUGUAAUUCCUCCUCUCUGAAUACUGCAGAUCCUCUGUCUCAUGCUUUCAGAGACAGGCCAAGAGCUCUGUACUGCUCAGAUUUUAGCAACAGGCAAUUAAGAAAGCUUCUCUGAACAUUUCCCUCAGCAAUAUUUCUAGUCCCCUGCAUGUAUUUCACAAGGAAAUAAAGCAGCUCUCUCUAAUGUCUAGCUACAUGCACUCGUAGUUGUCGCAAAAUACAGAACAUAAAAUUGUAGCUCCAUGUGUGGCUUUUCUUAACAUGGGUUGAACAGACUGAAAUUUGGACUAGACAGUGCCACUAGUGAGAAACAGCUAGGCAGGUUUUCCUAAGUAAUGCAAAUAAAACUCUCAUGUUGUACUGUACUAUAUGUAUCCCGGGUGUGCUGUAUUUUAUAAAGAAGGAAGUUCUACAGCAUUUCACACACUUAUUGAAUUGUUUCUUGUUUUGCCAGAGGCCUACAACAUUCCAAGUCUGAGCAAAACAAAUUAAGAAAGAAAAAAUCCUUUUUGGGCGUUACCUAAAAGUUGUGACAAGAGUCCCUCUGAAGUCCAACAAGAGAAAACAAACAAACAAAACCAGAUAAGCCCACAAUACAGAGGAAAACUUUGUAGAAGACAGGUGAAUAUAAGAGACCAAACUACUUCUAAGGACAUAAUUGGUGGCUACUGUGAAACAAUCCAGAUUCAAAGGAAAGUCUCUUACUAGACUGGGCCAUGUGACAAGGAAAAUGGAGAUUUCUUAACAGUGUUUUGGCACUACAAGAUCUAAUGCACCCAAGGCCACAGAGAGAACACAAGCUAUGCUUAGUGUCUUACCAGUGGUGGUGGUAUCAGAACGCUUUAUGCUGAAAGGAAGACUGAGGAAAUGAGCGACACUAACAAGAACACACUUGUGUGGUUAUGCCAAACAACAGAAGUCUUCACUGCAUCACUCAUGAUGGCCUCCAACCUGCACAGAAACACCUACCCAUCCUCCUUUCCCUCCAAGCAAGGACAUUGGGUUGCCCUUGUGAAAUGCUUUAAAGAAAGUGGAAAAUACCACUUAUGGAAAAUGUGUCAUCUUCCAUCAGCAGCCCCAAGAGAAAGUUAUUAACUACAGAGGAAGCUGGGCAUCUGAUAUCAAGAACAAUUUGUUUGGAGAGCCAAGGAUAUGCUUUGCUGUGGUUGCGUGAUUCUCAUCCUAUUAUUUUUAAAUACUGUAAUAUCUAUACAUAUAUAUGUAUUCACACAUGCACAGAUAUAAGUAUAUAAAAAGGUUAUCAUUCAACCUUGCUAAACCAUUGUACGAAUUAAAAAAAAAAAUCAGAUACUGCAUGACCAGCCCUAAAGAUUCUGAAUUUAUUUUAACACAUUAACAAUAGCAUAAUAUCAUAAUUUAAGUUUCAUUUUAUAAAAUAUUCCCUUUAAGGAAAGUGAGUGUGACCCUGGCUCCCAAAACAAACGAAAAAUCUGCUGAAAGUUAAAAGGCCCAUGAAGGCUCUCUGAUUGCUGCACAUAUUUAUGUGGCAUUCCAGACAAAGGUGGAAGAACAGCUAGAAUAAAAAUCAUGUUUUUCUCCAAAGUCUCAAACUGCCAAUAACCUGCAAUACACACAAUUAUUAUAAAUCCACUCAGAAUUUCAACAUGUUUCCUUUUUAUAAGCCUUGAAGCUCAGGCAUGCACUCAUUUACCAACCAGCAGCAACAAUUUCAGAUAUUCACUCCAUGACUGGCUGCUACUGUGCUCAAAAUGCUGGCAGUAAAGAACUGCUUACACAAAAAAAAAAAAAAAAAAAAAAAAAAAAAAAAAUCAAGAAGAGAAAGUUAAACUACAAAAUAAAGUCUGAGAAUGAGAUCUCAAUAGCAAGAUGAAGUAUUAUAUCAUUGAUGAAGUGUUAUCUAACCUGAUUUACUUUUUCUGUAUCCUGUAUACAAAAAAUUAAGUGCCUGUAUUUAGCUAAAUCUAAGCUUUUGAACCUGAGCAAUUUUCUUAAAAAUACAAGACAUUCAGUAUUAUUAUAUAUUACAUUCUAUCUGUAUGCAAUUAUACCUUAAAGACUGAAACAAACACACAGCUCUAAGAAGUAUGACAGGCUACACUAAAGACAUGAUCUGAAGGAAAAUUAUGUGGUAUAAAAAUGAAAACCAAAAUGCCUUCCAUUUUUAAAGGUAAAUUACCCUAUGCUAAAAGUAGACAGAGAAUUUUUUUUCAUUAAGAUUCCAAGGUUUUCUUCUACAUGUUGUACAAAUACCAAUAAACUUACCAACCAGAGAAAAUAUCCCAAGAUUGUGCAGAGUCGUCAGAAAUUCCAUCCAGGAGAAAGGACAGCAGUUUAAAAAUCAAAUAACUACAUUCACUACAUUAUGAAGUGAAUACAAGGCAAGCUGACAGUAUAGAAUAUAUAUGUAUAUAUGUAUUUUCCACAACGUCACAAUUCAAGCUGUAUCUUGACUGUUAUGAAUUGGUAUGUUCUAGAUAAAACAAAGGGUGGGUGAAAGCCCCACACCCCUUGUAUUUGGACACUGCUGUCAAAGAGCUGUGUCGAACACUUUUGUGACCUUUGAACAGCUCCACUCGAUUUUGUCAGAACUAAUCCCAGUGAAGAAAAUUAAACACAGCUAAUCUUAGAUAAAUCAGGCCUUUAAAUAUUGGGUUGCUUUUAUUUGAAAAAAUCCAAUGAGCAGCCUGAUUUGACAUCUCUACAAACUAAACAUAUUUUCUCUUACUACCUAGAUCCCACAGGAUGUGGAACUGUUUACUGCACUCAACUCUUAAGAAACCAGAAUUUCUUAAAUCACACUUAAAAUUCUUAGAUUUGAAGUUAUAUUUUUCUAUUUCUAUACAGCC